UGGGAUGUAGUGUAACGGUAACACUGCAGAUUCUGGUUCUGCCUUUGGGGGUUCGAGCCCCUCCAUCCCAG
rnacentral:tRNA from 1 species